UACGUAGGGGCCUAGCGUUGUCCGGAUUUAUUGGGCGUAAAGAGCUCGUAGGCGGUUUGGUAAGUCGGGUGUGAAAUCUCCACGCUCAACGUGGAGGGGCCACCCGAUACUGCCAUGACUCGAGUCCGGUAGGGGAGUGUGGAAUUCCCGGUGUAGCGGUGGAAAUGCGCAGAUAUCAGGAGGAACACCGGUGGCGAAGGCGGGGUCUCUGGGCCGAUACUGACGCUGAGGAGCGAAAGCGUGGGGAGCAAACAGG
rnacentral:rRNA from 1 species